UAGAAACACUGGUUCCUGUAAGAUUACUGAAGUUAAGCAACGUCGAGCCAGGUAAGUGCCUAGACGGGUGACCGCUUGAAAAUACCAGGUGCUGUAA